CUAGAGUUGGGCAUGACUGAUACAUGCAGUUCGAGCGAAUCUGAUGGGAAGCUUGCUCCCUGAAGAUUAGCGGCGGACGGGUGAGUAACACGUGGGUAACCUGCCUGUAAGACUGGGAUAACUCCGGGAAACCGGGGCUAAUACCGGAUAACUUUUUCUCUCGCAUGAGAGGGAAUUGAAAGGUGGCUUUGGCUAUCACUUACAGAUGGACCCGCGGCGCAUUAGCUAGUUGGUGAGGUAAUGGCUCACCAAGGCAACGAUGCGUAGCCGACUUGAGAGGGUGAUCGGCCACACUGGGACUGAGACACGGCCCAGACUCCUACGGGAGGCAGCAGUAGGGAAUCUUCCGCAAUGGACGAAAGUCUGACGGAGCAACGCCGCGUGAGUGAUGAAGGUUUUCGGAUCGUAAAACUCUGUUGUUAGGGAAGAACAAGUAUCGUUCGAAUAGGGCGGUACCUUGACGGUACCUAACCAGAAAGCCACGGCUAACUACGUGCCAGCAGCCGCGGUAAUACGUAGGUGGCAAGCGUUGUCCGGAAUUAUUGGGCGUAAAGCGCGCGCAGGCGGUUUCUUAAGUCUGAUGUGAAAGCCCACGGCUCAACCGUGGAGGGUCAUUGGAAACUGGGAGACUUGAGUGCAGAAGAGAAGAGCGGAAUUCCACGUGUAGCGGUGAAAUGCGUAGAGAUGUGGAGGAACACCAGUGGCGAAGGCGGCUCUUUGGUCUGUAACUGACGCUGAGGCGCGAAAGCGUGGGGAGCGAACAGGAUUAGAUACCCUGGUAGUCCACGCCGUAAACGAUGAGUGCUAAGUGUUAGAGGGUUUCCGCCCUUUAGUGCUGCAGCUAACGCAUUAAGCACUCCGCCUGGGGAGUACGGCCGCAAGGCUGAAACUCAAAGGAAUUGAC
rnacentral:rRNA from 2 species